rnacentral:rRNA from 1 species
GACGUAGGAGGCGAGCGUUGUCCGGAUUCAUUGGGCGUAAAGAGCGCGCAGGCGGCUUGGUAAGUCGGAUGUGAAAUCCCGAGGCUCAACCUCGGGUCUGCAUCCGAUACUGCCCGGCUAGAGGUAGGUAGGGGAGAUCGGAAUUCCUGGUGUAGCGGUGAAAUGCGCAGAUAUCAGGAGGGAACACCGGUGGGCGAAGGCGGAUCUCUGGGCCUUACCUGACGCUCAGGCGCGAAAGCUAGGGGAGCGAACAGG